rnacentral:rRNA from 1 species
GACGAACGCUGGCGGCGUGCUUAACACAUGCAAGUCGAACGGGCCUUGUCCCCUUUUUUUUUGGGGGUGGGGGUAGUGGGGAACGGGGUGGUAACACGAGAGGAACCUGCCCCUCACUUCUGGAUAACCGCUUGAAAGGGUGGCUAAUACGGGGUGUUCUGGCCUGCUGGCAUGGGUGGGUUUGGGGAGAUUCGACGGGUGUUGGUUGCUUUGGUGGGGGAUGGGCUCGCGGCCUAUCAGCUUGUUGGUGGGGUGAUGGCCUGACAAGGCUUUGACGGGUAGCCGGCCUGAGAGGGUGGGCGGUCACACUGGGACUGAGACACGGCCCAGACUCCUACGGGAGGCAGCAGUGGGGAAUAGUGCACAAUGGGCGCAAGCCUGAUGCAGAGACGCCGCGUGAGGGAUGGAGGCCUUCGGGUUGUGAACCUCUUUCGCCAGUGAAGAAGGUCCUGCUCUUUGUGGUGGGGUUGACGGUAGCUGGGUUAAUGAAGCGCCGGCUAACUACGUG